AGACUUUGAUCCUGGCUCAGAUUGAACGCUGGCGGAAUGCUUUACACAUGCAAGUCGAACGGCAGCACGGGAGCUUGCUCCUGGUGGCGAGUGGCGAACGGGUGAGUAAUGCGUCGGAACGUACCGAGUAAUGGGGGAUAACGCGGCGAAAGUCGCGCUAAUACCGCAUACGCCCUGAGGGGGAAAGCAGGGGAUCGCAAGACCUUGCGUUAUUCGAGCGGCCGACGUCUGAUUAGCUAGUUGGUGGGGUAAUGGCUCACCAAGGCGACGAUCAGUAGCGGGUCUGAGAGGAUGAUCCGCCACACUGGGACUGAGACACGGCCCAGACUCCUACGGGAGGCAGCAGUGGGGAAUUUUGGACAAUGGGGGAAACCCUGAUCCAGCCAUUCCGCGUGAGUGAAGAAGGCCUUCGGGUUGUAAAGCUCUUUCAGCUGGAACGAAACGGUACGCUCUAACAUAGCGUGCUAAUGACGGUACCGGCAGAAGAAGCACCGGCUAACUACGUGCCAGCAGCCGCGGUAAUACGUAGGGUGCGAGCGUUAAUCGGAAUUACUGGGCGUAAAGCGUGCGCAGGCGGAUUAUUAAGCAAGACGUGAAAGCCCCGGGCUUAACCUGGGAA
rnacentral:rRNA from 1 species